rnacentral:tRNA from 1 species
GGAGGAGUGGCCGAGUGGUUUAAGGCAGCGGUCUUGAAAACCGCCGAUGUUAUACAUCCGAGAGUUCGAAUCCCUCCUCCUCCA